UGUGAACAUCAAAAUACAAAACUAUAGUUUUGUCCUUUGAUGUUCACAGUACUUCUAAUAAAACAUUUACAGAUUGAAUCACGAGAAGAAGUGGUUGUAAUUUAUUUAAAAACAGAUUGUAUCACGAGAAGAAGUGGUAAAAGUGAAGAGAUCCUUUUAAUUGAAAAUUUAGAGAUUGUAUCACGAGAAGAAGUGGUUGAAAUUUAUUUAAAACAGAUUGAAUCAUGAGAAGAAGUGGUUGUAGUUCAUUUAGAAACAGAUUGUAUCACGAGAAAAAGUGGAAAAAUAUUUAUGUACUAUAAGACAAAGGUUGAAAUAACAGUUAUGAAACUGCUGUAGAACGAAUGGAAACAUUAGAGUUCACAUCAAGCGUUGAAACAGCUGCUGAUAGUGAUGAAAAAUUGUCCAUGCCACCAGCUAAAAAGUUAGCAGUUUGCAAAACAAGUGACACUGAGGAGACAUAUCCAUCAGUUUCCCCAAGAUUGAAAAAAUCUUUUAAUUGCCAAAAUAUUUUACAACCCACAACUGUUCCAUAUAUUGAGCUAUUUAGUUCGAAUCGUUCUCUACCGAUAUUUUCCUCUUCUGACCAGAGCUUGGCAACUGUUGUGGCUGCUUUAGGCACUCGAUUUGCUGGUAAAGAAUUACAUUGAUGGGUUAUUUGUUUGAAUGUUUAAUUAAAUCAUUUGAGAAGAAAAGUUUAGAGCUGCUUGUCAGUAUUCAAUAUGAUUUGAAAAAGUUAAACACUCGCCUAAUCAAUUUAGAAAAAGGUUUAGUGUUUCCUUUUGUUAGCAAUCAGAGCAUAGCUGGACCAUCCCCAUCAGUUAAAUGGAAUUAUUUGCCUGUUAAAGAGGAAAAAGAUUUUCUAGACCUGGAUGAAAAAUUACGAAACACCUAUGAUGAACUUCCUUGCAUCGGUUGGAGGCGACGAUUACAAGCAACUUACCACGGCUAUCUUAAAACAACUAAUGGCUAAAAAAGUAUGCUUAUUAUACUCUAUGUAUGGCAGGAAACAAAAGAAAUUAUUUUCGUCUCUUACGUCCUGCAAGGUGGUUAUAGAUGCCAUAAAAAAAAGUUUGAAAACGCUAAUGACAAAAGCAUUAAAGAAAAAAAGAAUCGGCAGCUUUCUGGCAACGGCCAUUGAUAGAGAAGGCAGAAGAAAGAAUAGAACCGCAAUUAAGCAAAGCCCACUAUUGAGGGAUAGUGAGAGUGUAAUGCUGUA
rnacentral:misc_RNA from 1 species